GCCUCUAUAGCUCAGUUGGUUAGAGCGUUACAUUGGUAAUGUAAAGGUCCCGAGUUCAAGUCUCGGUAGAGGCU
rnacentral:tRNA from 1 species